rnacentral:rRNA from 1 species
CUCGUAGGCGGUUCGUCGCGUCCGGUGUGAAAGUCCAUCGCUUAACGGUGGAUCUGCGCCGGGUACGGGCGGGCUGGAGUGCGGUAGGGGAGACUGGAAUUCCCGGUGUAACGGUGGAAUGUGUAGAUAUCGGGAAGAACACCAAUGGCGAAGGCAGGUCUCUGGGCCGUUACUGACGCUGGGGAGCGAAAGCGUGGGGAGCGAACA